GCAGAUAAAAACACACACCUUUAUCUUCAGCCAGAUAUUUAUAUAGAUCCGCAUAUAAUUUCUCCCACUGCUGCCUCUUAGAAGCGCCUCCGCCGGCACUCAGGGGGUCCCUGCUACUCUUCCAGCAAUCCCAGGUAUCAGCGCAUCGCCCACCCUGCGAUCAAACAGCACCCAGAUGGGCAGCCCUAUGGAAGCGUGCCCUUGUGUGUGCAUCCCUGCAACAACACCAGGCUGAUCAAAGGCGGAGGCGCCAGGCUCUGUGCUGUAAGUGGCACCCACGGAUGUCAGCUCCGCUUCAUGUUUGGAACCCACACCUGAAUAAAUACAUAAUCAUAUCACAUAGCGUAAUUAAUAAGAGUAGAACCAUGAAGGACUCUUAAAGGAAAGGCUGUUGAAAGAGAGUUCCUGAAGAUAAUCCUUUUAAAAGGUUUCCUUAAAAUGCUGCCGCUAGUGGGAAUAAGGCAGGUUUAGUUCCAACAUCUUAAUACCUCCGGGUAGCAUCGUUUUAGAUCUCAUAAUGUCUUUCCUUUAGCACUGAUUUGACUUAUGAUUUGGGACUUGCAUGUUUUGGAGGAUCUUGUUGCUGUAGCGGUUCUCAUUGAGAAGGUCCCCCAAGGACGUUACCACCAGUGACCUGCUGGGACCUGUGGCUUCAUUCUGCUGGAAAUCAUGCACCGUCCCUGCUUGUAACACCCUUUCCAACCUCACCCUUCUGGAGUUUUGUCUAAUGACCCACUCAAGUCAUUUCAGGGUGCUGCUUUGUUUGUCUUUCCCUCAUCAUGGACGGCGCAACAACCACCAAGCUGUUGAAAUGGGGUUUGGUUUCUCCCAAGCUCUUUGCUUGGGAGUGUCCCCAAAUCCAUCACACUCAGGAUGGGUCUGCAUGGUAUCGCCUUCUGGGGUCGGAGUCUUUGAAGUUUGCCUCCUUCCCUUCCCUGUGAGCCAUUAGCUGGAUGACACAGACAUGGGUUUCCCUUCGCUUCUUCUUCUCCAUCCAACCCUACUCACCCAGGAACAGAUCCUUAUCAGAGACUCACCCACAGUAAGUUGAACAGCUGAACAAAUACUUUUCUAUCUUAACUUAAGAUAAGUCUACUUAAGACUCUUGCGGC
rnacentral:lncRNA from 1 species